ensembl:lncRNA
UCAUGAGCUUGCUUCACCAGCAUCGAGUUGACCGUGACCACUUGCUUUUGCCUCCUUUUUAAAAAUAAUACAUUAUUUGUUUUUGCAACAUUGGUCAUUGGGGGCUUGUACUACAAAUUUCUCUUAAAUGCCUGGAAUGUCACCUUUGCACUCAGGUUCCCCUUAUAAAUCUAAUAAACAGGGAUUAUAUGCUUAAAAUGGAUGAUGUUCUCUGUACGCAAGACAACUUCAGGAAGAACAAAUGUGUCUGGAAAUACCUGAAAUUCCUGGAGUCGGUAAAUUUGUUGUAAGUACGGAUUCCGUCCAUGACCCGACUCUCUUGCAGCAGAAAUAACCAGCUGUGAGAAUUUACAUAAAUAUGUUUAAUAUACUGUUAUUAAAAUAACAGUUUCAAUAUUUAAGAGGCAAAUAAACCAGAUUCUAAAUAUAUUCCAAAAGUUAAAAACAUAAGAAAGCAUCACUUUCUGAUUAAAUAUAUUUUUGAUUCAGCCCAGAUUUAACAAUAAAUUGGACGAGACAAUAAGUUGUGUCCUGGAGCUCUUUUAAAGCCUCCCACUCUAAAGUUUGACGUGUUACUUUUUGGCCGUGCCGAUUUAGGUUUCAGGCAGGUAUUUUCAGAAACCGUCGGCCCAUAUAUCUGACGUGGAAAAUAUAUAUAAAUAAAUCUGCCCGCCGUUUGUCAAUAACAAUGACUCAAAUACUCCCACUGCGCUGAAUUUCUUGAGAUUUAGGUGGAUAACGGCAAAAAGGAAGCAAUGUCAGUCACGAAACUAUUGAUUGGACUUUUGUCGGCUUCUGUUUUAGUCAAUGCCUGUGUGAAUACUAAAGGUUGACAUUAUUAUUCAUGCCUGGAACCCAUGAAGUAAAACUCAUGCGGCUGUGAUGUUUGUUGCUAAUUAAGAUUGAUUCAUAUAUUCAGUAUAUUACUGGUUAACAUUAAAAUGUGUGCUGAGAAAUGUUUUAAAGGUUAACAACUCUGCAGCAAAAACAAAGUUUAAAAAAAAUGUAGUUUUAAUAUUUGAUGUGGAAAAUUUGUUUGCACACACACUGAACAUCUGAUGCAAUACCACCACUAGCAAGCUGAUUGCUAUUAAGUUUACAGACAACUGAACAUUAUUGAUUAUGCAAACUGUUCAAUGCAGUACAGUACAAUGAAAUAAAUGUUUUCGUGGUUAUUUAUGGAGAAGACAGUGGAACGAUGAACACUCAAUGACUUUUAAUUGGU